rnacentral:rRNA from 1 species
UGCGUAGGCGGAUUAAUAAGUCCGUGGUGAAAACCUGCAGCUUAACUGCAGACCUGCCAUUGAUACUGUUAGUCUUGAGUACGGUCAAGGUAGGCGGAAUGUGUAAUGUAGCGGUGAAAUGCUUAGAUAUUACACAGAACACCGAUUGCGAAGGCAGCUUACUGGGCCAUUACUGACGCUGAGGCACGAAAGCGUGGGGAGCGAACAGGAUUAGAUACCCUGGUAGUCC